rfam:Schistosoma haematobium scaffold732_4, whole genome shotgun sequence.
AUCCAGCUGACGAACCCCGAAUAGGCCGAAACGUGCGUCCUGGAU